UACGAAGGGGGGCUAGCGUUGCUCGGAAUCACUGGGCGUAAAGCGCACGUAGGCGGAUUGUUAAGUCAGGGGGUGAAAUCCUGGAGCUCAACUCCAGAACUGCCUUUGAUACUGGCGAUCUUGAGUCCGGGAGAGGUGAGUGGGAACUGCGAGUGUAGAGGUGAAAAUUUCGUAGAUAUUCGCAAGAACACCAGUGGCGAAGGCGGCUCACUGGCCCG
rnacentral:rRNA from 1 species